UGUGAAAUCCCAAAUUACAGCAGACAGACACAGACUAUGCAUGCAGAAAGCUCAUCUCCAACUACAACACACACAGCAGAACAUGCAGUGACAACACACACAACAAACCACUGAGACUACAAAGGCAAGUUUGCUAACAGUUACUUCACCUACUUGUCGAUAGAGCCCACCAUGUAGUAAACCAUUGGAAACCAACAGAUUGCAUCCAGAAAAUGCAUAUCUGGCCUAAGCAGCAGAUGGAAUUACAAAAUGAAACACAGUAUCACAACAGCAGCAUCUCUUCCAAAAUAUUUUAAUCAACUGGUCGUUUGGGGUUUAAAAAAACCAAAACUUUCUUAAACUUUGGCAUUAUGAUGUCAGUUAAAGCAGGAAAUAGGUUUUCAGAAAGCUGUGAAUCAACACUUUGCUGUGAUCAUAAAGAAUGAUCAGAAUUAACAUGCUUAUAUUAGUAAAUGCACCUCUAAAAUCAGAAAUGUUAUGGCACGGGACAAUUCCAAAUAUAAGAACAAAUGAGUAACGUCAAAGACACACUACCAAGUUAUUAUACUCCAAUGGAUGUCUCAGGAGGACUUAAAAUAAGCAUCAACAAUUCUUAAUUAAAAUGUAAAGUGGAAAUCAAAUCAUCAUUUGGGUUUUGUGACACCUACUGCUUUCCAGCCUACUCCCUUUCAGAGGAGUCACUGCAAAUGCUGCACAGGGAGAGACAACAGUAAGGGUGCUGGUUUAAUUAGCAAGCAGAGCUUUUACUUCACAGUAAUCAAUCAAAAGUGUGUUUAGCUAUCAAGUGUCACAGCAGCACUGAAGUGUGUGAAGUUGGGCACUGUGCUGGCAUAGGGAGCUGGCACUAGAGGGCCCCCUGUGCCCAUGGCUUUGCUCUCACAGUCAGUGCAAGUGAUUUAGCCUCAUUUAGGCUUCUCAGUUUGUGUAAUUCACUGUAUGCCAUAGUACCUACAUAAAAACCUUCUGUUUUGCCAACACAGGUGGCUAAGGAGCUGCCUGAGGGAAAGUGGGACACUUCACAGCAGGCCUUUGUAGAAAAAAAUCACUUGAACUGCAACAGAUCGACACAAAUUGAAGUGUCAGCCCUGGAAUCACAACCUACAAGACAUUUUCACCUUCUUAGCUUGUUCUACUAUUCUGUGUACAGAACAGCACAGGAAAAGUGAUGAAUCAUCUGCACCCUAAAGCAGAUCUUGUAUUUGAACCCAACUGUAGAUGCUGGCCUAAAUAUAUACAAAUGGAAGCUCAUAAAUCACAGAUGGCACAAUGAAGAUGAAAACUGUAACUUCAGUCCUCCAGAUGCACUCUACUCUCUAACAUCUAUGGUGAACUUUCUUGGCAAGUGUUUAUGUAAAAUAUCAUGUUUUAAAAGAAUACAGCACACAGCAAACAGAGACUGCUGUCCUACAACAGCCUUUUAAUCAUGUCUGUAAGAGAUUCACGUGGUGUUGUCAAGUGUUUUUACAUCAGGAGCCUUGGAGCUGGACUUGUGGACUAUUUUUGCACCUGUUGGAGACUCUGACCUUCUGCAGGACUUGUAUUGAGGAGGAUCACACAGAACUUUGUCUGCUGCAUCUUUCAGAAGUGAGCAGGGAGGAAGCAGGAUGAGAGCUCUCCCCCUCCUCAGGUCUGGGGCAUCAGUCGUGGUACAGCAGCUGGUAUAUCCAUGUGUUUGUGUACAAAAGCUCCUUAUUUGGUUCCCAAAUUUUUUGCUCAGUUAUUCUCCCAAAUUCCACUCUGAAGAAGCACUCCAGGGGAGAGAAAGAAAAAUACAGGGCUCAGGAGAGAAUGCCUCCUACUCCAUUAUGUGUAUGGAAAACUAUAUGAACCCCAUUAUCACUACAAAGAAUCACAAUAGGGAAGGGGAAGACUUGGAUUAAUUCAGCAGGCUUUGAAUCAAACUGUUCAGUUCUGUGGGACUUGGAACACAAGCUGAGCCUUUCAUCUGUCUGCACUUUGAGUGCAACUUCUUUUUGCUGCUCUCAUUGCUGCUAUUGAAACAACUGCUUCAGGACGAGCCAAGUUACCUUACUCCAGCUUCAGCAUUUUAUGGUUGCUAGCACCAUAAACAAAAAAGAACUUAGAAAAUACCAAAUAAGUAAUAUUCAGGAAGAAUGGACUUUCUUGCAGUGCUUAUCUUGCUGUGAAACUGAAACCAGUAACAAAUACAGGCUGGAGUGGUCUAAAACUUGCAAGUGACUCAAAUCAAAUGCCUCUUGUCUUAUCCCCUUUAACCACAACCAUGAGGCAUGCAGCCCUUUGGAAAACUCACAAGUGGUAUUUCCCUUCCCAGCUUAAAUUUCCAGAGACUUUGGGUAAUGGGAAACUUUCUAUUAGCCUCCCUUUUGGAAACUGUAAAUAUAGAAAGAGUGUUUAAGAUAAAAGGCUGUAGUCACAUGAGGACAGUGGUGUACAUUUCUUGCAUUUCAAGAUGCCCUGUGAGAACACUGAGUCAUCAAUGGUCUUUGUUCUCAGGGUAUUUCCCUUCAAUAUUUUGGCUGUUACAUGCACAAAUUUGGCAUCAUUGAAGCUUCUUUCAUAUGCCUAGGUGUUCUAAGUGUUGGUACCUCUGUCAGUGAGGUCACUUGCACAGGAAAGAACAAAGGCCACCAGUUACUGUCAGAUCUGUAACCUCCCUGUCAACAUUAGAAAUAGAAAAUCUGGCCAAUAAUUACAGAGAGAGCUCUGCAGCUUGCCAGCAACGUUUGCUGGAUCUGGGCUACAAAAGUAAAGCCUCUGCAUGUGUGUUCAGUUUGUCCUCAAUGUAGCUGCUACAUUCUGUGACAGCCUUAAGGCAAAGACAGUUCAACCAGGCAGUGAGCUAAAUGGAAGCAUUUGCUGUGCUGCUGCUUUGCAAGGGGAGUGUCCACCCAGCUGCUUAGAGGGGUGGCUAUAUGGGCAGACCCUAGAAAAGUGCACUGAUAUAUCCAGUCUGUCCACUCAGAACACUGCCUGCAGACUCCUGAUGAGCAGAAGGUUCACUGCAGAGUGCAAGAUAUAAAGGGGUGUAUGGAAACUGCAAUGUCAUCUAAAAUAUAGCCUGGGUUUUUUAAAUACUCAUAUGGUAUGCUUUGGCUCUUUUAUUUCAUAACAAUUGUUAUUAAAAAAACAGGAGCACACAUGAAAAUGUGUGCCACGGAAAUAAAUUUUCCUUGUUUGUAUUCCUUGUGGAAAGGUGUUUUUACUUCAGAGUCACCUCCUUGUUGACCUACAGUCUUAGGUAGAGACAAGCCUUUGGACAGUGACCAAGGAAACAACUGGCCUGUGAAAAAGAUAUAAUUAAGCACCAGACUUAAUGCUUAGGUUUGCUAAAACACCAGAAAGUGGGGAAGUGUUAAAUAGAGGUUGUGUAAUGGGGUGAAAAUUACAGGAGGUAAUCUGUGAGGAGAUAAAAGCAAUAUAUUCUGUCAUGCAUUACAGACUCCUCUACGGUUUGAGUUCCUGCUUGGAAACCCAGCAAUUCUUUUAGU